GACGAACGCUGGCGGCGUGCUUAACACAUGCAAGUCGAACGGAAAGGCCCUGCUUUUGUGGGGUGCUCGAGUGGCGAACGGGUGAGUAACACGUGAGUAACCUGCCCUUGACUUUGGGAUAACUUCAGGAAACUUGGGCUAAUACCGGAUAGGAGCUCCUGCUGCAUGGUGGGGGUUGGAAAGUUUCGGCGGUUGGGGAUGGACUCGCGGCUUAUCAGCUUGUUGGUGGGGUAGCGGCUUACCAAGGCUUUGACGGGUAGCCGGCCUGAGAGGGUGACCGGCCACAUUGGGACUGAGAUACGGCCCAGACUCAUACGGGAGGCAGCAGUGGGGAAUAUUGCACAAUGGGCGGAAGCCUGAUGCAGCAACGCCGCGUGCGGGAUGACGGCCUUCGGGUUGUAAACCGCUUUCGCCUGUGACGAAGCGUGAGUGACGGUAAUGGGUAAAGAAGCACCGGCUAACUACGUG
rnacentral:rRNA from 1 species